rnacentral:rRNA from 1 species
CCUACGGGAGGCAGCAGUGGGGAAUAUUGGGCAAUGGGCGAAAGCCUGACCCAGCAACGCCGCGUGAAGGAAGAAGGCUUUCGGGUUGUAAACUUCUUUUGACAGGGAAGAGCAGAAGACGGUACCUGUCGAAUAAGCCACGGCUAACUACGUGCCAGCAGCCGCGGUAAUACGUAGGUGGCAAGCGUUGUCCGGAUUUACUGGGUGUAAAGGGCGUGUAGCCGGGCUGACAAGUCAGAUGUGAAAUCCGGGGGCUCAACCCCCGAACUGCAUUUGAAACUGUUGGUCUUGAGUAUCGGAGAGGCAGGCGGAAUUCCUAGUGUAGCGGUGAAAUGCGUAGAUAUGAGGAAGAACACCAGUGGCGAAGGCAGCCUGCUGGACGACAACUGACGGUGAGGCGCGAAAGCGUGGGGAGCAAACAGGAUUAGAUACCCCAGUAGUC